GGCCCGUUAGCUCAGUUGGUUAGAGCGUCGUGCUAAUAACGCGAAGGUCGUGGGUUCGAUCCCCCCACGGGGCA
rnacentral:tRNA from 1 species